rnacentral:rRNA from 1 species
GACGAACGCUGGCGGCGUGCUUAACACAUGCAAGUCGAACGGUAAGGCCCUUCGGGGUACACGAGUGGCGAACGGGUGAGUAACACGUGGGUGAUCUGCCCUGCACUUCGGGAUAAGCCUGGGAAACUGGGUCUAAUACCGGAUAGGACCACUGCCUGCAUGGGUGGUGGUGGAAAGCUUUUGCGGUGUGGGAUGGGCCCGCGGCCUAUCAGCUUGUUGGUGGGGUGAUGGCCUACCAAGGCGACGACGGGUAGCCGGCCUGAGAGGGUGACCGGCCACACUGGGACUGAGAUACGGCCCAGACUCCUACGGGAGGCAGCAGUGGGGAAUAUUGCACAAUGGGCGCAAGCCUGAUGCAGCGACGCCGCGUGAGGGAUGACGGCCUUCGGGUUGUAAACCUCUUUCAGCACCGACGAAGCGCAAGUGACGGUAGGUGCAGAAGAAGGACCGGCCAACUACGUGCCAGCCGCCGCAGUAA